AUUCUGUGCUGCCAAUGCUUGAUGCCAAUGACGACGUUCGGAGGAAGAACAUCACUUUGUCCAUUAAACUGAAGCUGUGAUCUUUAAAGUAGUCUGGUUCCCUUCAUCGGAAAACUAGCAAAUGUCAGUUCUUAUGAACUCGUAACGUUUGUUGGAGAAAAGACCAAGAUGCAAAGGUUGUAAGUCCACAGACAAGCAUGCUGGAGUCGACGGAUGUUUGGAGAAGGCGACGGUUUUUCCACUCCGCUUGGCCCCACGUGGCUUCUGCAUGCAGUUUCAUCUGGUGAGUUCGGUUCCUGUGCAAACUUGUGGCAUCUUCUGCAGAGGGAUCGGUUGGUGAGUUUUGCUGAUGAAAGGAAUUUGGUUUAAAAUUGAAAUUGGAAUCGAAACGGGAAUAAGUAAAAAGUCAUUACAUCGGUUAUGUGAUUUGUACCACUAUUGUGUGAUUUGUUGCGAAUUUGCAUGUCAUCAAACUGUAGUUUCUUGCAAUUGAUGGUUUCAAGAAGUCUCUAAUCCCUGUAAAGUAUUGAAAAUAAAUAAAUUGAAAUCCACAUUUACAGUUGAA